ACGGACUCAUCAUUCCAGCCAAUCAGCAGCAGACCCUCCCUCCCAGGCCCUCCCAUCUCCUGGACAGCAUCCAUUUUGAAGCUACAUUCUUUAGUGAGCUGUCCAGGAGUUGGGAGGGUCUGGGAAGGUCUGCUGCUGAUUGGCUGGAAUGAUGAGUCCG